ensembl:lincRNA
AUUAUUUACAUUUCGAGUGGGAACAUAAAUAUCUUUAGAAAUAGACAAAACAAUAUGCCCCUUUUUAUUGUUCAGUCUAACUCACCUUCAUAAAAGUCAACGCAUUGAAAUAUCAAUCAAUCCAGCAAUUGCUUUUUGUUAUGUGCUGCAGUAUGGAUCCUCAGGGACUCCAGACCGUGUGAGCAACUAACAGGAAACAACACCAGAUGUGCUGUAUCAGCCAUUGAUUUUCGUCCCUGAUGAAUUCAGUAAAAGCAGUUUGAAAGCUCCUGCCUUAAAAACUCUGAAGCAGCCUGGGGUUUGGAUGUGGAUCAGGGAGUCACAACCACGCUGUAAAGCCAAACAGCUAACCUGCGACACUGCUGGGCACAGACUGAGGGAGAGCUCAGCAAUGUGACGCUGUUUAUGUUGACGCUGUUGAAGUAGUGUGUCAGCAAAUCCCUG